AGUCGGGUCCUGUGCAAGGCGGUCCCGCAAAUCCCGUCAGGUCCGGAAGGAAGCAGCGGUAGCGGAUCUACCCCUGUGCCACGGGGCAGCCCGGCUGUC
rnacentral:SRP_RNA from 1 species